UGAUAAAGUAGCAUAAUCACUCGUCAUCUAAUUAGUGACUGGAAUGAAUGGUUAAACGAAUCUCCAACUGUCUCUGAAGAAAUCUUGAUAAAUUUGAAUUGAUAGUGAAGAUGCUAUCUAAAGACUGUAAGACGAAAAGACCCUAUCGAGCUUUACUGACAGCUUAUAUUUAACACAACAAUAAAUUAAUUAUAGUAUCUACCUAAUGUAAGCCCACCAGUUUGGUUGGGGCGACCACCUCUAAAAACGUAUCAGAGGAAUUCUUAAGGUUUAUAAAAAUGUAACAAGCCUUACUGGAAACUUACCAAUUAAUCAGUUACUAACAAGUAGGACAUAAUGACCCGUUUAUUAAAUUACUUCAAUAAACGACAAUGAAAAAAGUUACC
rnacentral:rRNA from 1 species